rnacentral:lncRNA from 1 species
GGGUGGGCGGGAGGGGCUGGGGUGCACCCGCCCACGGGGUCCAAGAGGAGCCUAGAGCCCAAGGGCCUGCAGGCUUCUGCUGGGUGGAAGCUGCUGCAGGCCACAGGGACCUCGGAUCUAAGCUUAGAGUCUUAAAAAAGGAAGUGGGGAGAAAGGGAAGGAAGGUUAUCCACGCCAAAUGACCCAAAGCUCUGCAAAGCUCUGCACUUACGGCCCGCCAGCGCCCGCGCUGUCCCAUUUUACAGAUGGUGUCUCCUUCGCUUGGUCAGAGAUGCCAAGAAACUGGAGUAGCAGCUACAACUUUAUCUGGCACAGUCUGGCAAAUCCAUCAACACUAAAAUUCCAACAGGUAUACGUUUUACUUAAAAAAAAAAAAAAUCGUUCUGGUUUGUCAAUUUCACCGAUCACAGUGGUGGUUCAUCUUGCUUUUUGGCUUUUCCACCACCAUCAUUUCCGUUUUUCACUAAGAUCAUUAAAAUAUUCCUCUGAGCCCCUCCCCAAACCCCUUCUUUCCAGAAAGAGAUCUACUUAUAUGUGAACAGUCUUUGGGUCCCCCAGGCAGUUCAUCCCCCUGGGGGCCUGGGCAAGAGCAUUUCCCAAGGGAGGUGACUCAGAGAUAUCUGAGCCCCUGGCCCUGUCCUGCACUCACACUGCAUAAAGGCCUAUAGCUGUUGCAGUUGCAAUUUUCUCUCUAAACCCC